GUGCUGUGAUGACCAGCCAUGCUAAUACUGAGAAAUAGCUGCCCAGUGGGUUUGCUUUAUCAAUGAGUUUAAACAGCAAUCUGAGCAUA